GAUGAACGCUGGCGGCGUGCCUAAUACAUGCAAGUCGAGCGAAGCGGGGACGGGUGAUUAACACGUGGAUAACCUCCUAUAAGACUGGGAUAACUACGGGAAACCGGAGCUAAACCGGAUCCUUAUAGAUAGAUCCGAGCCGCAUUAGCUAGUUGGUAAGGUAACGGCUUACCAAGGCAACGCUGCGUAGCCGACCUGAGAGGUGGAUCGGCCACACUGUAACGUAGACACGGUCCAGACUCCUACGGGAGGCAGCAGUAGGGAAUCUUCCGCAAUGGGCGAAAGCCUGACGGAGCCACGCCGCGUGAGUGAUGAAGGUCUUCGGAUCGUAAAACUCUGUUAUUAGGGAAGCGGUACCUAAUCAGAAAGCCACGGCUAACUACGUGCCAGCAGCCGCGGUAAUUC
rnacentral:rRNA from 1 species